rnacentral:rRNA from 1 species
UACAGAGGUCUCAAGCGUUGUUCGGAUUCAUUGGGCGUAAAGGGUGCGUAGGUGGCGCGCUAAGUCAGGUGUGAAAUCUCGGGGCUUAACUCCGAAACUGCAUUUGAUACUGGCGUGCUUGAGGACUGGAGAGGAGACUGGAAUUCAUGGUGUAGCAGUGAAAUGCGUAGAGAUCAUGAGGAAGACCAGUGGCGAAGGCGACUACCUGGCCUGUUCUUGACGCUGAGGCGCGAAAGCUAGGGGAGCAAACGGG